rnacentral:misc_RNA from 1 species
GAUGAAGAACGCAGCGAAAUGCGAUAAGUAAUGUGAAUUGCAGAAUUCAGUGAAUCAUCGAAUCUUUGAACGCACCUUGCGCCCUUUGGCUAUUCCGAAGGGCAUGCCUGUUUGAGUAUCGUGAACACCUCAACUCUCAUGGUUUGCCAUGAUGAGCUUGGACUUUGGGGGUUUUGCUGGCCUUUGGUCGGCUCCUCUCAAACGGAUCAGCUUUCCAGGGUUUGGUGGCGUCACGGGUGUGAUAACUAUCUACGCCUGUGGUUUUCUGCCAGAUAACCUUCAGCGAGGGAGGUUCGCUGGGGCUCAUAAAUGUCUCUCUUCAGUGGAGACAGCUUUUUGGACGUUUGAUCUCAAAUCAGGUAGGACUACCCGCUGAACUUAAGCAUAUCAAUAAGCGGAGGA